GUUCCCAGAAUCUUGGAGAAGGCCAAUUGAGUUUACCUGAGAAGUUGAAACAUUUGAUGACCAAAGAAUCUCCUCCUCUCCAUUCGUUAUAACGACAUUUCCAUCACGAGAUAUCUUUACAACACCAGAAGAAUCUCUUAAAGGUUUGUCCCUAUUAGCCACCCAAAUGACAGUUGUUACAGAAAAAUUGUACCAAAUACCAACAUACCUAUUAGUACUGUUUUGAGGACUGAAAAAUCCUAACUUGAAUACGCCUCCUGGAGACGAUAAAAUUCCAGGAUCUCUCAGAGAUUGAAUGCUGGUAAUGUUAUCCACUUCACUGCAUAAUCCUGUAUCGAUAAAACGAAGAAUAACAAGAAUUAUAUGAACAAAAUAUUGCAAAUUUCUUCUUCUGCUGCUGCUGUUGCUCAUCUUUUUGGUUUUCUAAGACUUUUCUUAUUACCACACUAUAUGAACAAAAGCACAAUAUGUUGUCAAAGUCUAAUAUCACAAGCAGCCAAAUAGGAUUUUUAAUUUGUUGACCCUAUAGAAAUAUCACAAACCACAUAUCAUUCUCUAUCCGAGACUUUUAGGCCAAUGCAAAAAUUGACACUUAAAAACGAAUAAUGUAAAAUGUAGAGUUUAACUUCUAUACGCUGACAAUAUAAGUCUUUUCUCCCAUCACUAUCAUUGUGUAGUAUGUUCCUGAAAUAACAUUGUGAAUUGACAAGUUUUAACUUGUUGAAAUAACACAUUUCUUUUCCUUAAAUUAUUAAAUGCUCAUUGAAAAAAGAAGAAGAAAAUAAAAUAAAAUGAGUAUUGAUGUAAAGAUAUGACAUCUAAGCUUAAUUCAACCUUAGACCAGAAAUAUAAUGAUUGAUAUAUUUAAACUAUUUCGAAAAAGUAAAAUGAGUGAAAAUCCAAAAGCCACGUUAGUGUGAGAAUUGAGUGGGGACCUUGACAAUAAGCUAGCAUCUCAACGUCAACAUGCUUGUCAACUAUAAGUGGUAAUAAUGCACAUAGUGUAAUGAAAAAUGUAUUGUUGCACAAAUUGACAUUAAACCUAAAUGCCUUUUCAUUUUAUUCCAAAUACAUCCCAUAAUAUAUUCUGUGAUUGGCAAACACAUAUUACACUUGUGGAUUAUGAUAUUUGAUUCAACACGAAUAUUUAACAUGUAAUCGAAAAAUGAAUGACAAAGAUAUCAUACAAAUUGAGACAAAUGGAUAAUUUUGCAUAUCUUAAAAAUAAUAAUUUCAUAUACUCAUGUCAUCUACCAGUUAUGUUUGUGAUACUGAUAUUGUUCAAAGUACAAUUAGUUACAUUGCACAUUUUGAAGAUACAAUCAUGUCUUUCAGUAAAAGCAGGUUGUGAUGGUGCAGGAAGACUUGUAGUUUCACUGGUAAGCAUAGCAAGAACAGAUGAAAUACUUGGUCUGUCUUCAGCAAAUUCUUGAACACAUAGUAAACCAAUCUGUAUGCAUUUUCUGAUCUCCAUUUCCGAGCUCGUGUUCAAUAUGAAUGGAUCGAUAAAAGUUGAUAAAUCUUGUUCUUUCCAUAACAUCCAUGCCUGAAAACAGUGAAAAAUUGAUCAUCAAACUUAUUGAUGCAUAAAACACAGUGACAGCAAAAGUAAUUCUACCAUCAUAAUGUAAAAAUAUAAGGUACACACAAUCGAACUAUAACAACACGUUACUAUAAUGGUGAAAUUUACUUUGGAUGUUCUCUAUAAUAGCAUUUCACUAUAGCAACCAAAAGAUAUCUGGACAAACGAGGUCGAUGUAGAAAUGUUUUGACUGUAUAGUUUUUGCAGUAUGAGCAUUUUUAGUAUUUGAAUAGUAGCAUAUAAAGGGAAUCUUACAUAUCCGAAAAGGCUAAAAGAGGAUGUCUCAUUCCAAGAACUUGUACUUUUUCGGCCACUGAUGAUCUCUAACACUAGAACUCCAAAGCUGAAAACGUCCGAUUUCUCAGAGAAUCUUCCUUUCAUUGCAUAUUCAGGGGCCAUGUAUCCACUGUAAAAAUGUCAGCACAUUCGUGUAAAAAAUGAUUAGUUAGUAAGUAUGUAUGAUAUGGUUUUUUACAGGAGAAAACUGUGUAAAGCUAUGGUAGAUAUAGAUCAAUGUCCACUUACUAAGUACCAACUACUCUCCUUGUGUCUGCUUGAUCUUGGUCAGAUCCGAAAAUCCUAGCCAUGCCAAAAUCUGAAAUCUUUGGAUUGAAGUCAUUAUCGAGCAAAAUGUUACUUGGCUUCAGAUCUCUAUGAAUUAUCUUCAAUCUUGAAUCUCUGUGAAGAUAAAGGAGUCCUCGACCAACCCCUUCGAUUAUAGUGGAACGUUUUCUCCAAUCCAAAAUGCCUCGGUGGCCUUCAUCUAGAUGUUUGUCAAAUAUGAAUGGAGAAGGGAUUAACUUUGCUUCAGAAGAAAUGUGGAGCAAUGUUGCUCAGACUCCCCAAAAUUGUUGAUGUUCUCGUGUCGGAUCCUCCAAAAGUGCAGUACUUUUGGAGGAUCUAACAAGCAUCCAUCGACAUUAUUGAAGAGUCCGAACAACAUAGAUGUGGAGUAACAAAGAACUGCUAUGAGAAGUACAAUGCUUAUUAAAAGCAAGGACUAACCAAAGAGAAACACAUCCAAGCUUUUCUUGGGCAUAUAUUCAUAAAUCAACAUCUUCUCCUCUUUAUCAACGCAACAUCCCAAAAGUCUAACAAGGUUUCUAUGUUGGACUUUCGAGAUCACCAACACUUCAUUCAUGAACUCCUCCAGCCCUUGUCCCGAGGCUUUUGAAAGCCUCUUGACUGCUAUUUCUUUCCCGUCUUCCAAUUUUCCCUACAAGUAAUCAGCAAUUUCAGCAACUGAAAUUUGAAAAGUGAUCGAGAGAGAAGAAAAUUGUACCAUGUAAACUGGACCAAAACCGCCCUGACCAAGCUUCUUAUCCUCAUGGAAUUGGGAUGUUGCAUUUGCAAGCGUAUCGAGGCUGAAGACUGGUAACUCUUCCAUAUGAACUGCACUUCUGUCACCAAGUAAAUUUAUCUUCUUCCUUUUUACUCCUAAUAUCAGCAGGGAUACAAAUUAACUACUAUAGCAAACAAAGUGCUUCUAAAUGUAUAAUACUAAAACUUUAUAGCUUGUUUUACCUCUAAGUCUGGCCAUCCAUGUACAGCAAAGGAACAGACAAACACAGAGUGUAAGAAAACCAAGGAUUACUGGAAUUACAAUUUUCUUUAUGUCUUUAUGAUGAUCUGUAAUGUAGAGCAAUCACAAAAGGUGAACAAAAAUCAGUUCUCUACAGAAGUAAGCUACUUAAUGUAUAUAUAUGGAAUUCAAUAAGUCCAUGAUAUCUCAAAUGACUGAUUAAGCUAUUCUGGGUGGAUAAUGAGUCUUCUAUUCAACACCACUAUACAUACCAAGCUCUGAAUGUGCCACGCGAAUAUAGAGAUCUUUCCCCGAGCUUUGGAACUGCUGAAUAUCAAUCAAGUUGUUACUCCAUGACAUACAGCCAGUACCUGAGUCAUAUGCAUACGCUAUGCAGGAACAAUAUCCCAAGCAUUGGCUUUUACAUUGGUCUUCUCUAGUCGAUGACCUUUCUGCAAAAUCAGGCAAUUUUAUUGACCCUAUCUUUAGAAAUCCGUCUUCUUUACUUGAAUCCCCUGAGUUAUUCCUUACUUCACAUUGCAAAGCUUUCCUCCUAACACAACCACUAGUCCAAUUCCCCUUUUCCCAUUCUUCCCUGUGCUUUGGCUCAAAACCUUUCAGACAAGAACAGAUCGGCGACUCCAAAUUGCAGCUCCCAAAUGGACCACAUGUUCCAUAAACUUCACAAUCGUUAUUGGGAGCUGACCAUAUUAUCUUCCAGUUUGUCUCAUUCACAUCCCAAUAUGAUUGAACCAAAUUCCCUUUCCAAUCCAAGACAAAUUUCGUUAAGAAAUCAAAAUCACCAGGGCCAGUAAGGUAUACAGUACCUUCGCGAUCGUUCACUACAUUGAAUCCAUCAGACGACACAGAAUACAUACCCUGCACUCCGAUAAAGAUCUGGCCAUUCCAUUGACCACUUCGCCAAUAGGGAUGACUACCUUUCCAGAUAUACACCUGAGGAAUGAAUCCAGAAUUCAUUCCUAAAGAAAAGUUUCCGAAAUUAGGAUCCCAAGGGCUUCUCCAAGAUUUUACUUCUACCCUCUCCCCUGUCCUUGUGUUUUCACUUAAUCUCAUUUUAGGGACAAUUGAAUCAGAAGGAUGUUCAAAACUCUGCCAUAUUGUGCUCCCAUUGUUCAGAUGAUCUACAAGAACAAAAUUCCCAGAAUCUUGGAGAAGGGCAAUUGAGUUUACCUGAGAGGUUGAAACAUUUGAUGACCAAAGAAUCUCCUCCUCCCCGUUCAUAACUAAGAUAUUUCCAUCACCAGAUAUUUUGACAACCCCAGAAGAAUCUCUUAAAGGUUUGUCCCUAUUAGCCACCCAAAUGACAAUCGUUUCAGAAAAAUUGUACCAAAUACCAACAUACCUGUUAGAGCUGUUUAGAGGACUGAAAAAUCCCAACUUCAAGACGCCUCCUGGAGAUGAUAAAAUCCCAG
rnacentral:lncRNA from 1 species